AGAGUUUGAUCCUGGCUCAGGACGAACGCUGGCGGCGUGCCUAAGACAUGCAAGUCGUGCGGAUCCCUUCGGGGGUCAGCGGCGGACGGGUGAGUAACACGUGGAUAACCUGCCUGAUGCUUCGGAAUAACAGACCGAAAGGUCUGCUAAUGCGGGAUAAGCUCACGGAGCCGCAUGGCUUUGGGAGAAAAGGCGCUGCA
rnacentral:rRNA from 1 species